CGGGUGGAUGACUCUGCAAUUUU
rnacentral:miRNA from 2 species